GAUGAAGAACGUAGCGAAAUGCGAUAAGUAAUGUGAAUUGCAGAAUUCAGUGAUUCAUCGAAUCUUUGAACGCACAUUGCGCCCGCCAGCACUCUGGCGGGCAUGCCUGUUCGAGCGUCAUUUCAACCAUCAAGCCCCCAGGGGCUUGUGCUGGGGCCCUGCGGCUGCCCGCAGGCCCUGAAAACCAGUGGCGGGCUCGCUAGUCACACCGAGCGCAGUAGCACAUCUCGCUCAGGGCGUGCGGCGGGCUCCUGCCGUGAAACCCCCCACUGUAACCCCAAAGGUUGACCUCGGAUCAGGUAGGAAUACCCGCUGAACUUAAGCAUAUCAAUAAGCGGAGGA
rnacentral:misc_RNA from 1 species